GCUCAGUGGGUCGACAGCGACCGGCAGCAACGUCGGCUUGGGCGGCGGCGACGUCGGCUUGGGCGGUGGCGACUGGCGGCGGCGACUAGAGGGGUGCGGCUCUUGGUUGGAGAGGGAUGGGCAGAGAGGGAGAGAGAGACAGAGAGAUAAGAGAGAAAGAGAGCGAAGAGUGAGGGAGAGGUGUCGGGGCUUCGGGUAUACCUAGGUAAGACGGUGAAUUGUUCACCGUCUUCAUAAAAAACAGUGGAGACGGUUAAUGAUUCACCGCCUUACCUUGACCCACCUCCCCCCAAUAAAGACGGUGAAUAGUUCAUCGUCUUUACUGCUACAAAUAAGACGGUAAACAGUUCACCGUCUUAUCUGUGUUUUAUGUCUCCAGGACUUGGCCAAAGUUGGGGGGUGUUGUCCUGGUCGAAGUUGAGGGAUGUGGGGGGAUAAUGUACCGUCUUAAGUAAGACGGUGAACUGUUUACCGUCUUAUCAAGGGCACAGCAGUUCCAAAGGGGGGUGGGUGUGGGUGUAUUCGCUCUAAAGACGGUGAAUAGUUCACCGUCUCAUGAAGGCGGUGAACCAUCUACCGUCUUCAUGAGAAAUGCGCAUAGACGGUGAACGAUUCACCGUCUUUACGAGAAAAAUCCGACCUGGCGCCGACGUGGCGAAAGGAGGGUUAGUUUUACAAAUAAAAUUUUCAGAGGGUUAUUUGGCCAAAUAUAAAAUUCUAUAG
rnacentral:lncRNA from 1 species